rnacentral:lncRNA from 1 species
GCUGACCCAAUCGAGUGGAGCAGCGUCAGAGAGGCAGAGGAGAAAAUGGACAUUUAGCCCUAUAAGUCAGAGUAGAGUUUAAAUUCAGCUCCGCCACAAGCUUUUCCUGGAAAAUUAUGUUUAGUUGGGGAGGAAAAACACAUUUUCCAGUCUUGAAACUCUUUGGGUUACAGCCUUAUUCAUCAAUCUACACACGCAAGGGAAAAGAUCAUUGCCUGCCACCAAAAGCUUUGAUGGUCUCUGUGAGAGUGAAAAACUCUCCAGAAGUGUGGGCAGAGGGGAUUAACAAUUCCAACCCCUGGCUGUUAAGGAGUGCAAAAAGACAACACGUGCAGAAGGACAACAGUGCAGUAGUCAAGGACAAUGUGUAUGGUGUUCAUUGCAGGACAUCCUCAGCGUCAUACCUCACCUCUUCUUGAGUCAAUCCUCACUCUUUGUUGAGUCAAUCAUCACCCUUUGAGUCAAUUCCCAGCACUUUUUGAUUAAAUUCUUACCUAUUCUUGAGUCAAUGCUCCUCACCCCUUUUUGAGUCAAUCAUCAUUCUUUAGAUGGAUUACCAAUGGGACAAUACAUUUGAUGUAUUGAUCAUCAGCCAAUCAAUUGACCAGUGCCCCCUUCAAUUUAAGAUGCUACUUUCUCUAUCCUGUAUGCAUAGAACUAGGGAGCAAUUCAGGUCAAUGAAAUUGCUAAUGCACCCAUUAGGGCAGAGCGUUACCAUUGUGUUUGAAAGAGCAGACGGUGAGUGUCUGUUCUUCCGUGUCUGGAAUAUUAACCAGGUACACCAGCACCAAGGACAGGUUUUUAUGCAGCCAAGUCAUGUUAACCCAGUGUAAUAUCUUUCAUAAGGGAAAUGUAUGUAUUCACUGUCUGUGGAGGGGCUUUUAAUUAUGUUGGUUAUUAAAUGAAACAGUUGAUGCAUCCCAAAUGGCACCCUAUUCACUAAAUAGUGCACUACUUUUGAACAGAGCCCUAUUUUGGUCGCCUAUGGGCUCUGGCCAAAAGUAGUGUACUAUAUAGGACAUAGGUUGCCAUGUGGGAGGCCGAUAGUGGAAGCCACUUCACCCAUCAGUCUUUAAAUGAGAGAGCCCUCAUAGGGCACAUUAGGACUUACCAUGGC